rnacentral:rRNA from 1 species
ACACUAUCAUUAACUGAAUCCAUAGGUUAAUGAGGCGAACCGGGGGAACUGAAACAUCUAAGUACCCCGAGGAAAAGAAAUCAACCGAGAUUCCCCCAGUAGCGGCGAGCGAACGGGGAGCAGCCCAGAGCCUGAAUCAGUGUGUGUGUUAGUGGAAGCGUCUGGAAAGGCGCGCGAUACAGGGUGACAGCCCCGUACACAAAAAUGCACAUACUGUGAGCUCGAUGAGUAGGGCGGGACACGUGGUAUCCUGUCUGAAUAUGGGGGGACCAUCCUCCAAGGCUAAAUACUCCUGACUGACCGAUAGUGAACCAGUACCGUGAGGGAAAGGCGAAAAGAACCCCGGCGAGGGGAGUGAAAAAGAACCUGAAACCGUGUACGUACAAGCAGUGGGAGCCUCUUAAUGGGGUGACUGCGUACCUUUUGUAUAAUGGGUCAGCGACUUAUAUUCUGUAGCAAGGUUAACCGAAUAGGGGAGCCGAAGGGAAACCGAGUCUUAACUGGGCGUUAAGUUGCAGGGUAUAGACCCGAAACCCGGUGAUCUAGCCAUGGGCAGGUUGAAGGUUGGGUAACACUAACUGGAGGACCGAACCGACUAAUGUUGAAAAAUUAGCGGAUGACUUGUGGCUGGGGGUGAAAGGCCAAUCAAACCGGGAGAUAGCUGGUUCUCCCCGAAAGCUAUUUAGGUAGCGCCUCGUGAAUUCAUCUCCGGGGGUAGAGCACUGUUUCGGCAAGGGGGUCAUCCCGACUUACCAACCCGAUGCAAACUGCGAAUACCGGAGAAUGUUAUCACGGGAGACACACGGCGGGUGCUAACGUCCGUCGUGAAGAGGGAAACAACCCAGACCGCCAGCUAAGGUCCCAAAGUCAUGGUUAAGUGGGAAACGAUGUGGGAAGGCCCAGACAGCCAGGAUGUUGGCUUAGAAGCAGCCAUCAUUUAAAGAAAGCGUAAUAGCUCACUGGUCGAGUCGGCCUGCGCGGAAGAUGUAACGGGGCUAAACCAUGCACCGAAGCUGCGGCAGCGACACUGUGUGUUGUUGGGUAGGGGAGCGUUCUGUAAGCCUGUGAAGGUGUGCUGUGAGGCAUGCUGGAGGUAUCAGAAGUGCGAAUGCUGACAUAAGUAACGAUAAAGCGGGUGAAAAGCCCGCUCGCCGGAAGACCAAGGGUUCCUGUCCAACGUUAAUCGGGGCAGGGUGAGUCGACCCCUAAGGCGAGGCCGAAAGGCGUAGUCGAUGGGAAACAGGUUAAUAUUCCUGUACUUGGUGUUACUGCGAAGGGGGGACGGAGAAGGCUAUGUUGGCCGGGCGACGGUUGUCCCGGUUUAAGCGUGUAGGCUGGUUUUCCAGGCAAAUCCGGAAAACUAAGGCUGAGGCGUGAUGACGAGGCACUACGGUGCUGAAGCAACAAAUGCCCUGCUUCCAGGAAAAGCCUCUAAGCAUCAGGUAACAUCAAAUCGUACCCCAAACCGACACAGGUGGUCAGGUAGAGAAUACCAAGGCGCUUGAGAGAACUCGGGUGAAGGAACUAGGCAAAAUGGUGCCGUAACUUCGGGAGAAGGCACGCUGAUAUGUAGGUGAAGUCCCUCGCGGAUGGAGCUGAAAUCAGUCGAAGAUACCAGCUGGCUGCAACUGUUUAUUAAAAACACAGCACUGUGCAAACACGAAAGUGGACGUAUACGGUGUGACGCCUGCCCGGUGCCGGAAGGUUAAUUGAUGGGGUUAGCGGUAACGCGAAGCUCUUGAUCGAAGCCCCGGUAAACGGCGGCCGUAACUAUAACGGUCCUAAGGUAGCGAAAUUCCUUGUCGGGUAAGUUCCGACCUGCACGAAUGGCGUAAUGAUGGCCAGGCUGUCUCCACCCGAGACUCAGUGAAAUUGAACUCGCUGUGAAGAUGCAGUGUACCCGCGGCAAGACGGAAAGACCCCGUGAACCUUUACUAUAGCUUGACACUGAACAUUGAGCCUUGAUGUGUAGGAUAGGUGGGAGGCUUUGAAGUGUGGACGCCAGUCUGCAUGGAGCCGGCCUUGAAAUACCACCCUUUAAUGUUUGAUGUUCUAACGUUGGCCCCUGAUCGGGGUUGCGGACAGUGUCUGGUGGGUAGUUUGACUGGGGCGGUCUCCUCCUAAAGAGUAACGGAGGAGCACGAAGGUUGGCUAAUCCUGGUCGGACAUCAGGAGGUUAGUGCAAUGGCAUAAGCCAGCUUGACUGCGAGCGUGACGGCGCGAGCAGGUGCGAAAGCAGGUCAUAGUGAUCCGGUGGUUCUGAAUGGAAGGGCCAUCGCUCAACGGAUAAAAGGUACUCCGGGGAUAACAGGCUGAUACCGCCCAAGAGUUCAUAUCGACGGCGGUGUUUGGCACCUCGAUGUCGGCUCAUCACAUCCUGGGGCUGAAGUAGGUCCCAAGGGUAUGGCUGUUCGCCAUUUAAAGUGGUACGCGAGCUGGGUUUAGAACGUCGUGAGACAGUUCGGUCCCUAUCUGCCGUGGGCGCUGGAGAACUGAGGGGGGCUGCUCCUAGUACGAGAGGACCGGAGUGGACGCAUCACUGGUGUUCGGGUUGUCAUGCCAAUGGCACUGCCCGGUAGCUAAAUGCGGAAGAGAUAAGUGCUGAAAGCAUCUAAGCACGAAACUUGCCCCGAGAUGAGUUCUCCCUGACUCCUUGAGAGUCCUGAAGGAACGUUGAAGACGACGACGUUGAUAGGCCGGGUGUGUAAGCGCAGCGAUGCGUUGAGCUAACCGGUACUAAUGAACCGUGAGGCUUAACCUU